rnacentral:rRNA from 1 species
AUUGAACGAUGCCGGAAGGCCUAACACAUGCAAGUCGAACGAGUGGCGGACGGGUGAGUAAGGUCUGGGAAACUGCCCGAUGGAGGGUGAUAACUACUGGAAACGGUUGCUCAUACUGCAUCCCAUCCAGUGAGCCCAGAUGGGAUGAGCUAGUAGGUGGGGUAAUGGCUCACCUAGGCGACGAUCCCUAGCUGGUCUGAGAGGAUGACCAGCAACACUGGAACUGAGACACGGUCCAGACUCCUACGGGAGGCAGCAGUGGGGAAUAUUGCACAAUGGGCGCAAGCCUGAUGCAGCCAUGCCGCGUGUAUGAAGAAGGCCUUCGGGUUGUAAAGUACUUUCAGCGAGGAGGCGUUACUCGCAGAAGAAGCACCGGCUAACUCCGUGCCAGCAGCCGCGGUAAUAC